ACGCUCGACACCUACGGGAGGCAGCAGUUGGAAUAUUGGACAAUGGAGGAAACUCUGAUCCAGUGACGCCGCGUGAAGGAAGAAGGUCUUCGGAUUGUAAACUUAUUUUGUCAGGGAAGAAAAAUGACUGUACCUGAAGAAAAAGCACCGGCUAACUACGUGCCAACAGCCGCGGUAAUCUGAGCGGGCUGGCAAGGC
rnacentral:rRNA from 1 species